AUGUUUAUUUCUUUUGGUC
rnacentral:sRNA from 1 species